UGGAUAGCUCAGUUGGUUAGAGUGUGGUGCUGAUAAGCCCAAGGUUACAGGUUCGAUCCUAUAUGGGACAG